CUUAAGUAGUGUCGAAUAUAAUUCAUCCAUGAAGUCAAUCUUUCUAUUCAGAGUAGGACGCAUGUUUUCCUAUUUUCAUGAUUUCUCUCAUUCUGCUCAUAUUUCCCACAUAUUUCACUCCUCUCCUCCAAAAUAAUACAUGAUUAUUAUUCUUAUUUAUUUCUGAAUAAAUACGAUAUUUUUAUUUUCUUGAUCAAUAAUAUAUUUGAAACAUAAAAUAAUAGAAUAAAUCAAGAACAAUAUAGGAAAAUAUGAAAGUAUGAGCCGGAUGACGAAAAUAAUGAAAAUAUGAAAAAGUGUGUCAUACUCUAAAUAGAAAGAUUGACUUUAUGGAUGAAUUAUCCUCGACACUACUUAAGACUUAAUAUAACUUAGAAACUUUAAAUUAUUUGAUAUUUGACAAUGAAGAUAUAAACACAAAUUUUUUUAUAUCACUAUUACCAAAUAUUUUUUUUUAUAUCACUAUUGCCAAAUAUCAAAUAAUUUAAUAUUUUGAAGUUAAAAUAAGUUGUGUUGAAAAUUAUUAAGUUAAGAUGUAUAAAUAAAUUUUAUAAUAGAUUAAUGUAUUAAAAUUUAUAAAUUAGUUAUAAAUCAAUCUAAAAUAAUGCAUAAAUGAUAAUAAAUAAUUUAAUAAUAUUUAAUAACUUUUAGUGAUAAAACCCCUCAACUAUUUUUGAAUCGUAAAAAAAAACCUCAACAAAGUUUUCAACACUAUAAACCCCCAACUUAUAAACCGUUAACAUAUGUCACCCUCCGUCACGGUUUUUUAGACGGAGGGUAACAUAUGUUAACGGAAUUAAAGUUGAGAGUUAUUCCACAGGAUUUUUAGUUGAGGGUUUUUUUUAAGAUUAAUCUUUAGUUGAGGGGUUUAAUUACUAAAAACCCUUUAACUAACUAGCAUGGGUGAAACCACCAAAACGACACGAAAUUAAAGUUUAAAUUCUCAAAGAAGCCAAAUAAACACCCGAAUCUAUUCUAAUAGUCUUACAUCCUUCUAAUAACUGUUCAGUUUAUCCUAUCAAAUGCAGCAUGUUUAAAAUUAGCACAAAAUGAUAUUGAGUGGUCUUCUCAUGCCUCAUUGUUCUUAAACGAAACAACUUUUAAUUUCGGUUUGGGUAAAAAAAGAACGCUUUAUCACCAUCUAACACUCUAACACUCUUUAUAGGCAAUUUCUAUCAAGCAAUUUUACGCUGCUACAUAACCACCUUCGUUCGGUAGGUUCAAGUGAAACCACAGCCUCAACUGUCACCACAACAGAUCGAAACCCUCACCACAAGGACAAAGACUUUAAUUUUGCAACCAAUAACUUCUACACUAAUUUACCAAAAUUAUACUCUCAACAUAUUUUAUAUGUUUCAUAUAUAUAGACAACCCGCGCGAAGCGCGGACAUACAACUAGUAUAUAAUAAAGCGUAAGAUCAUAGUUAUAGAUGUCUAAGCCGUUGUUUAAAUAUUUUUUUAGAAGAGUGGUCGACAAAAAUCUUAGUUUUGUUUUUUAAACAAGGCCUAAAAUAUGAUCUUACAUUCGUCUGACCAAACAAAAACUUAGUUUAUGGCACACAAAGUUAUUUUCCAACUUAUUUCAUACUUUUUAAUGUAUCACUAAUUUAAAAAAUAUGAUUCAUCAAAUAUACCACUAAUUUUCCAAAUUACUUUUCCAUCUGUUAGAUCGCUGACAAGGAUUUUUUUCCGCCCUAAAUCAAUGCAGACUUCCAAGAUCUCCCUUUUAAUAUCAAUACAAUACUAAAAGUUGAAUAAGAUCAACAUCUAGACUAUCCACGUAGGCAAAUUAAAUCGACCUAUCAGAGUAUUGAAUUAGGCCACAUCACCCAAAUCAACCUAAACGACAUAUUUGCUUCAUCUUCUGCAAAAUCACCUAAGCUUCACCGCCGUUACUUGCCUUCUCUUCUAGACCAGUUCCCUCCUUCCGAUCAUUCUCUCUACCCUCCCCAUCCGCCUCAUUUUCCCACUUGUGUUCUUCCUGCUGGUGUGGCAUUCCAUUCGUCUGGGUUUGUUUCCAGCGACCCUGUGAGUUUCCCACGGAGCUACCCCAUUGUCUUGACGGAGGGUGAUGGAGUGAAAAUAUUUGUUAGAUUGCGUUUCGGGACCGAGUCUGCGAGGAUGUUACUGAAGCUUAUCGUUUACCACCCAAUACAUACGCAGACAAGUGUAUCUGUAUCGUCUCUCACGCCCCCAAUUUCCGAGCUCUUUGGGAUUCUCUCGAGUUGGAUUGUAACUUAUAGAUUGCUAAGCUGGUGAAUGAGGGGGAGGUAACUAAGGCUGAGACAAUGACUAUUGGUGAAAUCUUCGAUUACAUCAAGAAAGGAUCCGCCAAGGUAGAACUUGAGCUGUAGAUAUGCCACUCAAAUCAACAUGCUUAACUACGUAUAUCACCCGGUCGUUGACGAACGCAGGAGGUGAAACCACAUUUGCUGCAACUGCUGAAUUGCCCCUGCUCUCUGGAAAUGUUUUGUCUGCAUCUUCCAAAGGAUGUGGAGACCUUGCUGAUGAGAGAAUGGUGGCUCAAAUAACAGUGGCGAAGCACAGGAAGCCAAAUGUGCUACCCAUGUCAAAUAGGUCUUUCCAGUUCUUAAGUUUUGUUCUGUUAUUUCUCUCACGCACCCUUUGACCUAACAAAGAAGAAGGUGAUGAAUGUCAUUCUGGAUCCUAUCGAGGACUCAACAGAGUCACAAGCGGAGAAAACUUAUUCAUUGCUUGCUUUUGAUGGCCUUCAGAGUUCAUUUGCUGGACAGAAAUCAUCGGUGGGUUUAAUCAACCUGACAUUUAUCGGUGAUGAAUCAUGGCCUCAUUUGCAACAAUAUUAGAACAUCAUUAGAAAAUGUGAAAAUGGAGUUUGCUUUCAACAUUUGUAACAGUUCUAUUUUGAUUUAUCAACAAGCUAUUAAGAUUA